UACGUAGGGGGCGAGCGUUGUCCGGAUUUAUUGGGCGUAAAGAGCGCGUAGGCGGCCUUGCGCGUCGGAUGUGAAAGCUCAAAGCUCAACUUUGAGAGGCCAUUCGAUACGGCAAGGCUCGAGGCAGCUAGGGGAGAGUGGAAUUCCUGGUGUAGCGGUGAAAUGCGCAGAUAUCAGGAGGAACACCGGUGGCGAAGGCGGCUCUCUGGGGCUGUUCUGACGCUGAGGCGCGAAAGCUGGGGGAGCGAACAGGAUUAGAAACCCGAGUAGU
rnacentral:rRNA from 1 species